rnacentral:lncRNA from 1 species
UUUUUUUUUUUUUUUUUUUUUGGUCUUUUUUGCCAUUUCUUGGGCCACUCCCACGGCAUAUGGAGGUUCCCAGGCUAGGGGUUGAAUCGGAGCUGUAGCCACUGGCCUACGCCAGAGCCACAGCAACGUGGGAUCCGAGCCGCAUCUGCGACCUACACCACAGCUCACGGCAACGCUGGAUCGUCAACCCACUGAGCAAGGGCAGGGACCGAACCCGCAACCUCAUGGUUCCUAGUCAGAUUCGUUAACCACUGUGCCACGACGGGAUCUCCUGCUGACUGUUGUUGAAGCAAGAAAGUCAAAGAGCCCUUGUCUUAGGCCCUUGAUUCAAAGUCCCAGAUGAACCACUUGCACUGAAUCAGGACAAGCAGAACUAGCCCCAGAAAGAACACAGGAAGCAUCAGGGCAGAUGGAUGCGAUACCGGGAGCCUUUGAUGCUGGGAGCCAAGGUUUCUCAGCCACAGUUCUGCCACUCACUCAUCUUGUGACUUAACUUGAGGCACUGCCCCACCCCCAUGUACUGUGAGACCCCAGGGAUUGGUCUUCGCUUUGCUGAGUUUGUAUAUAACAAGGUCACUGAAUCGGCAUCUCUCUAAGGGCCCAAAAAUCACAAGUGUCUGAGUACAUCAUACUAGUCAGGCAAAUCUCCCCUGCCUCCAAGCAUAAUGAAGUGGUCACCUAAAGUUUCAGUAUCUGCAGAGAAGCUGCCAUUAAACCAACUUUCACGUCCCAGAUCUGGCCAGGUGCCACCAUCUGCCAUCAGAGUCUCUGUCAGAGCCGUGCCUCUUAGGCCAGAGGGAGGAGGGGGCUGCUUUUGGAAUUUUGCUCUUUUAGUUUGAAGCUUUCAAGGGUGUUUUGCCUUCCAGAUUUAUUUCAGCAAGUUGCUGUUAAUUGUGUUUUCAAUUAGUUAUGUUUAAAACAUCUUGAGAUUUGGGUAACUGAAAUUGCAGUGCAUUAAUAAUUAUUAAACAGAGCCUCUAAUCCAUUAUUUAUUGAAUAAAUUUUUAAUACUAAUGCAGAAUCCAUUGUCACUGCCACCAUGAGUUUGGCCAUUAAGGAAAAAGCUGACGAAAGAAAACUGAAGCUCCAGGAUCCUUAAAUGAAGGCCUGUGGAGCAGAGCUUCCUGGAGGAAGGAUUGGCAGCUGUUUCUCUUUUAUGUCUGUUUAAUCAAGGCUUUGUUGCCUAGAGAGAGGGAGCAAGUUCCCACAUAGUAGGUACUCAGUAAAUGUUUGCGCAAGGAGCGAAUGAAUGAAUUAGUAAAUAAAUGAAUUUAAGAGGAAUUAAACUAGGAGAGACUCUUUACGAUUGAAGAUCCUUUUCUAUUUUAACCAUUAACAAACACUUAGAGCAUUCAGCUAGGCAAUGAAGAGUCCGUGAUGGAUAAGACAGAAAUCCCUUCCCUCUCUUUCUGACAGAUCAUUAUACUACAAAUUUAAAUAUAGUGAUCAUAAAAUGGAGUAACACAAAGUGGAUCAGAAACCUACAGGAGAGGGUGACCCAUGCUAGAGCAAAUCAAAGAAGGCUCAGUAAAGAGAUGAUGUGAAGUCCUAGACGCUGGAUUUUCUAGAUGUAGAAAUGAGGAAAAGACAACACAACAAGCAUACUUAGAGGUACAUCCAAAGACGUGAAUGUGGGUGAAUUCAAGAUUGUGAGGAGUUUGCUGGGGGGACAGAAAUGAGGCUGGGAAGGAGAAGUGAGUCACACUAAGAAGGUGGUUCUCAGGUUAUGCAAAUCUGAUUGGUCAAUUUUUUUAUUUCAGGACAAGUGUACCAAUUCACAGUUCACAUUCUACUGAACAAUCUAAACAAUAUGCAGAGGGACCUUGGCUAAAGUUGCAGGGAUGGAUGGAGAGAAGGAGUGGGACUGGGAGUGAUUUAGUAGCCACAAGUGUGGAACUUAGACACCAGCUCUAGCAAAGGGCGAGGAAGGCAGCGGGGAGAGUCAGAGGUGACCCAGUGUCUUGGCUGUAAUGGUUUUGAAGAAAGAGGUCUAGGUUGAGUGUGUGUUGGGAUGGGGGGAUGACAAAUACAACAAAAGCUUCAGAAAUGUUAUGGUCUCUAGGGUAUCCAAGUGGAAAUCCAAAAAACAAUUGGAUAGGUAGGUUUGGAGCUCAGCAAAAGAUAUGGUCCAUCUCUAGAUGGAGAAACAUUCACACAAGGGUAGCAUUUUAAGCAUUGUUCAGAAUAUACCAUGCCCAACACUCAGCUAGAUAAACUUUUUGCUGUGUAGAGUCAUGAACAAGGCUUAUCUAUAGAAUUUUUUAAAAAUAAAAUCUAACUAAACCUAGGGAAAAUCUAACAUCUCUAUUUAGGGCAAAGAAAAUAAAUACAACGAGAAAAUAAAGCCAUGGAAUGAAAAGGGAUCUUCUUAGAAUUCAUGCCAGUCCUAGGUUCAACCAAAAACUAAUGGAUCAACCAGUUAAUAUUACAAAGCACCACCUCUAAACCUUUAGGAAUUCAGGGAUGCCAUCCCUUCACAGACUCACCUAAAUCUCUCAGAAGCUUUGAGCCUCAACUUCACCUGUCUGGUCCACCAGCUUUCCAGAAUCUUCUCUGAUCACUGAAGACUAGAGAGCCUCUAUAUCUGAGUACCUUUAGCCCCCUAAACCUCUGACCCUCUUCAGGCUCUGAGCACACAUUAAACCUAUACAGCUAGAGCUCCUGGAAGGCCACAAAGCCCACCUCCACCCCCUACCACACAGAUUCCAGCCAAGCCCAGCAAAGGGCUGAACAUGUAAUAUUCCAUUCUGAUAAAUUCCGGUUCCCUAUCAUUACCACCAGCCCUACAGGGCCUCCAGUCUCCUACUCCUGCCCCACAUCCAGGGUGGACACACUUGACCAACCACAAAGAUAAGCCAACCUUAGUUGUCUGGGGAGGACCUGGGUAUUAGAGUCAUUUCUUCUUCUAUAGGCACAUUCCAGAACCCCUGAGGCCCCGGCUCAUGCAAUCUUGCCAGGAGAAGAGAAGGGAGAGGGAGGAGAAGGGAGGGGAGAGAGUUAUAUGAGUAACCCUCUGCCCUCCCUCUCACUGACAUGCCUGGAACUAUUUUAGAAUCCCUCAGAACCAACACCCAAAAGAUAUAAGACAUAAUUCCUGUGCUAGGGAAAGGUAUGACGUCCAAAAAGGAGAAGUGGCCAAGCCCACCUGUGGAUAAGGUGUGUCCAGGACAGCUGACUCAGAGGUAUGUAGGAACUGGCAGAGGCAGAGGCAUUAGAACCAUGCCCGAGUAUAUGGAACAGUAAGAGGUGAGCCAAGUCAGGAAGCUGUUCCAUCCUUCCAGACAAAAUCCCCCCAUUGCUUCCUUUGUCUCAUUUUUUUUCUACUUAUUUUCCCACCUCCUUCCUAGAUACCAGCUUCUUCAGACCAGGAACCUGAAUUUCUCACUGUAGUAUUCUCCACAAUGUCUAGCAAAGGCUUGGCACGUUAUAGACCCUCAAAAAUUGUUGAUGCAAAAAUAAAUGUGAACCCUAUUUUAAGAGAUUUUGUUUACUAUGAAAUAGUGGAGGAUUUCAUAAAUGAGCUUCAAGUCCUUCUAAUCCAUCAGCAAGUUGGCAAGAAAAUAUAAAACAAUACAGUGUCAAAUACUACUACUGAACACAAUUAUGUGACUUUCUGAGUACAUUCUAAGUAUCCGAGGACAACAGAGCAGGGGGAGAAGAAGCCGAAAGCCAUUUCACAAUUGUAUGGCUUUUAAACUGCAUCUGCUAUUUGGGUCAGUGUCUUCCAGGAGGGACUGAAGAUCCAUUAAUAACAUUUGGAUUUUAGAAGAAAUCUUUUUGAAGGAAAAUGUUGUGCCUUGCAAAUAUUCUGUGUCCUCAGGGAAAAGAAAGCCAAUGAGAGAGAAACUGCAGCCAGCCCACCCAGGGAGAAUUGGGUUGGGGCCAGGAAAUCAAAAUGAGAAUGAAUUUAGCACUGGUAUUGCUAGAACUAAUUAUCAGGAAGAUUCCUUAUAUAUGCAUAUAUAUAUAUUUUAAGAGUGGGGUGGUGGGGAGGAGUGGUAUUCUUCAUUAAAAUUACAGCCAAUAAACAGCAAGAGUGGAAGAUUCCUUUUUUCAAUAUUGGAUGUAGUAUCAUGCUACUGAGAAAGGCAGAGAGCACUGUCAAAUUUGACAUAUAAAUCCAAUGACUGUUUGAAUAACAAUGACGACAACAUACAAAAUACAAGAUAUCAUGCUCUGAACGAUUACAUGAUCCAAUCUGACUACACAACAACUUCCCAAAUACUACUGCUACCAUCCCUUCCCACAGGUGAGAGAUUGAGCCUCCAAGUUAGCCAGUGGUAGAUCUGGGAUGCAGAGGCAUAUCUUCUUACUUCAGUCCCUGUACUUUUUCUCUCUGUGUGCUUCAAGAACUUCCUGGUGGCAAAUUUCCUGUAGGUCUGGGAAAUGGUGGCGGUUCUUAUUCCCACAAGAGAACUGCCAAGACUGAGGUCCCAGCUUACACAGAAUACUUGAGCCACCAAUGUCCUUGGGCCUUGUUCCAUCAAGUUGGGACUGGAAUCUCAUAAUUUGUAGCGUGACACACCCCAGGCAUGGGUUCACGGUGGAGCCGGCUCCACUUUGAAGCUUCAGAGAGGUUCAGCGUGGAACAGGGUUACCUGAUGGCUCCAUCAGAGUGAAGUUCCAACAAAUUCAAGAAUCAGAGAAAAAGACACUCUGGAAAUCAUGAGACCUACAAGGAGCAGCAGCUUCGAUGGCUUGUCCUUAGAUUACACCUCCAAUGCUGUGACCCCUGCUCUCCUAGCCUGUGCUUCAGC